rnacentral:rRNA from 1 species
GAUGAACGCUGGCGGCGUGCCUAAUACAUGCAAGUCGAGCGAACAGACGAGGAGCUUGCUCCUCUGACGUUAGCGGCGGACGGGUGAGUAACACGUGGAUAACCUACCUAUAAGACUGGGAUAACUUCGGGAAACCGGAGCUAAUACCGGAUAAUAUAUUGAACCGCAUGGUUCAAUAGUGAAAGACGGUUUUGCUGUCACUUAUAGACGGAUCCGCGCCGCAUUAGCUAGUUGGUAAGGUAACGGCUUACCAAGGCAACGAUGCGUAGCCGACCUGAGAGAGUGAUCGGCCACACUGGAAGUGAGGCACGGUCCAGACUCCUACGGGAGGCAGCAGUAGGGAAUCUUCCGCAAUGGGCGAAAGCCUGACGGAGCAACGCCGCGUGAGUGAUGAAGGUCUUCGGAUCGUAAAACUCUGUUAUUAGGGAAGAACAAAUGUGUAAGUAACUAUGCACGUCUUGACGGUACCUAAUCAGAAAGCCACGGCUAACUACGUG